rnacentral:rRNA from 1 species
CUCAGGGAGGUAGUGACAAGAAAUAACAACACUGGAAAUUUUAUCUCUAGUGAUUGGAAUGAUGGGAAUUUAAACCCCUUUCAGAGUAACAAUUGGAGGGCAAGUCUGGUGCCAGCAGCCGCGGUAAUUCCAGCUCCAAUAGCGUAUAUUAAAGUUGUUGCAGUUAAAAAGCUCGUAGUUGGAUGUCUGCUGGAAGCAAUCAGUCCGCCCUAUUUGUAGGGUGUGCACUUGAUGAAUUCUGGCAUCUUUGUCCCAAUGAUGUAACGGAAAAGAAUGCUGUUGGGCGAAAGUUCAAUAGCGUCUUUUCCGAUUAUUGGGAUACUGUUACUUUGAGAAAAUUAGAGUGUUUGAAGCAGGCUAAUUGCCUUGAAUACUGCAGCAUGGAAUAACAAUAUAGGAUUUCGGUUCUAUUUUGUUGGUUUCUAGGACUGAAAUAAUGAUUAAUAGGGACAGUUGGGGGCAUUCGUAUUUAACUGUCAGAGGUGAAAUUCUUAGAUUUGUUAAAGACGAACUACUGCGAAAGCAUUUGCCAAAGAUGUUUUCAUUAAUCAAGAACGAAAGUUAGGGGCUCGAAGACGAUCAGAUACCGUCGUAGUCUUAACCAUAAACUAUGCCGACUAGAGAUAGGAAAAUGUCAUUUUGCUGACUU